rnacentral:lncRNA from 1 species
UGGGGUUUGACAAUCGAUUGUCAGUGAGUAAAAUCAGCAACUCUUAAUUGGCAAUUAGGCAAGGGUAAUGCCAAGUUUUUCAACUAUAAGUACAGCUUCAUUUCAGUGUUUUAAAUACAACAACAUACUACAACUGAUCAUUAUAUUGCCAUAAGCUUGUAUACUUUUGUUUAUCAUUUUGUAUUCAAUUUCAUAAAGCUUUUGAGAGCCGUAUUCUUGUCCAAAGUUGUUGUGAUCCAAAGCUUACUUCUUUUGCUCAUAUCUACUCAUUAAGGAGUAUUCUGUUUGAGUGUUUUAGUGUUGUAUACACUUGUAAGAGAAUUGUAAUUCUCUUGUUGUAAGGAACUUGUGUUUCCUUGGUUGAAGUCUUGGAGUGUUGNNNN